UCCGAUAUGGUGUAUCGGCUAGCAUCGCCCGCUUUCAUUUCGUGAAUUGCGCCGGGCAGAGCCGGGUUCGACUCCCGGUAUCGGAA